rnacentral:lncRNA from 1 species
GAGAUCUGCUGAUGGACCUGCCUCCUGCCAAUGCCAGGUAGGGGCCUGGUGACAGCACCAUGAGGCAAAUGAGAGAGAAAAAGGCUCCACAGAGCAUAACAGGGAAUGACCCAGGAAUCUGGGAGUUCAUAUAGGAGCCCUGCCCUGUUAAUGUGUUUGCUAGUGUUUCCCUUGCUGUGACAGAAUGAACAGGCGUCUAGCUUAACAGCCUUCUGAAAGGCUCUACCCAGAAGGUGACUGAGACAGAUGGAUAUACAUACAGACAAACAUUGGACGGAGGUUGGGGACCUCCAUGGAAGAGUUGGGGAAGGAGAUGACAACCUCACAGGAAGACCAACAGUGUCAACUAAUCUGGACCUCUAGGAGUUCCCAGAGACAGAGCCACCAAGCAAAGAGCAUACAUAGGCUGGUCUGAGCCCUCUGAUUCCUAUGUAGCACAGGGCUGUCAUGUCUGGCUGCCUCAGUGGGAGCAGAUGUGCCUAAUCUUGCAGGGAUUUGAUGCACAAGGGUGUGGGGGUGGGGUACAGGGGGUGUGCUGCCCUCUUAGAGGGGAAUGGGAGGGGAAUGGGGAGGAACUCUGUGAGGGUAGACCAGGAAGGGGGCAACAUUUGGGAUAUAAGUAAAUAAAUGAAUUUUU